ensembl:lncRNA
CUCAGGCUAAUAAUUUUGAUUUUGUAUUAUUUGGCAUGCAUCCUAUUUUAAUGUUUAUUAUUUUGUAAACGACUCAAGAUAUAAUUAAUAUUGAAAAAUAAUUUGGGACUUUCCUGGUGGUACAGUGGAUAGGAAUCUGCCUGCCAGUGCUGGGGACUGGGGUUCAAUUCCUGGUCCUGGAAGAUGCACAUGCCUCAAAGCAACUAAGCCCAUGCACUGCAACUGCUGAGACCACUCUGCAACAAGAGAAGCCGCUACAGCUAGAGCGUAGCCCCCACUCGCUGCAAAUGGAGAAAGCCUGAACACAACAGUGAGGACCCAGCACAGCCAAACAAUAAAUAUUUUUUAAAACUUUUUUCUUUUUUUAGUUUGUACCUAAAUAAAUAUAUAUUUCAUAUCCUUGUCAUGUCCAAUUAGAACACUUUACAUUAUUUACACAUUUUAAAAAAUACAUUUUGCUCCUUCCUCUUUUCUCCCUAACCCAAAUUUUUAUUUCUUCUGUAUGAAUGUCUGUGUAUUAGCCACCUCUAAUAUAUUUGUACCUUAUUGUAGUCGUUGUUUCAGUUGCUAAUUUGCUACCUCAUGGACAGUAGCCCUGCCAGGCUCCUUUGCCCAUGGGAUUUCUCAUACUGGAGUGGGUUGCCAUUUCCUUCUCCAGGUGAUCUUCCCGACCCAGGGAUUGACCCUGUGUCUCCUGCAUUGGCAGGCACAUUCUUUACCACUGAGCCAUCAGGGAAGCCCCAUUUGUACCUUGGUUUGGGUAUUAUUAUCACUGAGCACUAACUCAAGGGUAUGGGAGUGGGUAGAAAUUCCUACUGGUUUUCUACAAUACUUGUCAUAUGUAAGUGUAUUUAAAAAAAAAAACCACAAGACUCUAGACAUGAUCCUCAAGUAGCCUACCUGGCACAUUUCACCAUCCGUGAUAGUUUUAACCACUUGGAUAAGAUUUUCAGUCAAAUUUCUUUCUAAUUUAUAAUACUGAAUUUAAAGGACUGGAUCUAUAUAAUCCUAACGUGUUGAUAAGAAGAAAGAACCACAUCUUCCC